rnacentral:misc_RNA from 1 species
GAAAUGCGAUAAGUAAUGUGAAUUGCAGAAUCAGUGAAUCAUCGAAUCUUUGAACGCACCUUGCGCUCCUUGGUAUUCCUUGGAGCAUGCCUGUUUGAGUAUCAUGAAAUCUUCAAAGUAAAUCUUUUGUUAACUCAAUUGGUUUCUACUUUGGUAUUGGAGGUCUUUGCAGCUUCACACCUGCUCCUCUUUGUUCAUUAGCUGGAUCUCAGUGUUAUGCUUGGUUCCACUCGGCGUGAUAAGUUAUCUAUCGCUGAGGACACUGUAAAAGGUGGCCAAGGUAAAUGCAGAUGAACCGCUUCUAAUAGUCCAUUGACUUGGACAAUACUUUUAUGAUCUGAUCUCAAAUCAGGUAGGACUACCCGCUGAACUUAAGC